ensembl:lncRNA
GGCUAUGCCAGAGUCUUUCCUCAAAAUUCUCCGCAAUCCACAAUGAACAAAGCUAUGUCUGUGAGUACAGGAUGUUAAAGAUCCUGUAUUUAAGAAACCUCUAUUUUCCUGAAGAAUUUGUGUUUAUGCUGUACAUGGGCUGUUUGCUUGUUUGCCAGCUUUGGUUUCUCAGGGGCUUACUUGUGUUGUCAGGCAGCACGUCUGCUAGUCUCACUUUUCCCAUCAUCCACUAAAAAUAAAUAAGAGGCAAAGACUGAGCUUUAUUUUAUGCUGCAUACUAAACUAGAACAAGAAGUCUUCUACUAAACAGAUGUGAAUUAAAAGGGUGACUGCAAUGUGCUUCAGUCCUUUCUAUACAUCUGUGUGUUCUAAACUAUGCUUUGUCUAAUCUAAGGCCAAAAUCUGCUCCCAUCAAAGUCAGCACAGUAAAGUGGAGCUAGUGUGUUAUUUUUAAGCUUUUUAGUGUGAAGAUCUGCUGUUUUAACUCUAAAAUGUCGUUCAAACUUACUGAGGUGGCAUUAUAUCAAUACUAAAUGCAAAUAAGCCCAGCUUCAGAGAUGCUUCCCUAGGCAAUUAAAUAUCAGUGAAAACACAAAUGCCAAUCAACACAAAUCUGUGGAACUCAAAUAGAGGCUUAUAGAUUAACGUAUGCAACUAGUUUCCUGAAAUAUCACAAAAAUGCAGAUUUGUAAGUUCCUUUAGGUAGCCUAAUUCCUCCCAGGGUCUCCGUCUUCUUUCCUGCGAGUAGCAGUUAGUCUCUUUAAAAACACCAAUGAUCUGGAACAGAAUAUUUUCUUCCUGCCAGCACAAGUGAAGUACAUAAUGAUGCUAGACCAUGUUGACUCAUGCUGCUGAAAUCAAACACUAAGAGAGAGUAGUAGCAAAAGAUAAUUUGAGAUUGUGCUAAUGAAGCCAAGGCAUACUGUGGGUGCUGGAUCAUGCUGGGUUGAGUUGGUCAGUCUAAAGGCAGGUCUUGUCCACAGUGCUGGUGAGUACUAAGGAACUGAUUGAAAAGAGACCCCAUACAAACAAGUGCACGUGCCUGCCCUUCACAUAACACAUGAUCUGAUCUUGCACACACACACUUUUAGCGGUGAUGCCUCCCAUUCCAUACAGGUAGAUCUGGCUUUUUGUGCUCCCUUACAUCUGCAUACAAGUCACAUCUCAGCCCUUGUCUCACCACUAGGAAAUACCAGUGCCGCUUUUGGGGAAAGGAGACAUUUCUCUAGCAGGUGCUCCUUUGAGGCAGAUAGGAUUUGCUUUUUUUUGGCUGAACUCCCUGAAUGCAAAUUACAGACAAGUAAUAUGUGGCACGUAAGAGAAUAUUUUAGUCUCCCAAAUAUAUUCUACCUACACACUCUUUCUCUUUGUGAGAGCUGGAUGUUUAAAAAGAAAAUCUUACAGUGUCAGUUGUGAGAUGUAAACCAAACAGACCAUCCUACCAUUAAGCAGUUUCCCAGAUCCUGGAGUCAUGUAGUAACUAUUAUUAGAAAAAGCAGGAUUUGUGUCUGGAUCACAGCUUAGCAACAAUUUGAAUUUGUUCAGGCCAGCGUUCCAAAGUAGUUUUAGACUGAUUUUUUUUCCAAGUUCUAAUAGAAUUUGAUCUGGAUCUUGUAGACUCACAUGAGAAACCAUGAUUAGUCAUUUUCAGCCCUACGUUUGAAAAAAAAAAAAAAGAAAAAAAACUUUGCUAAAAUUUGGGGAAACAUUUUGGUGGGAUGCUGAUUUAUUUUUUUCCUGAUCAAUUUCAAAUUGUAGCAUAAGCAACUGGUUAAUCUUGCAAAGAUGUUCUGUCUACUCUUUUGUCUCUGUCCCUCUUUCUCUCUGUAAGAUUUUAUGGUGCUUUAGGAAGGCAUUUUCAGAAAAGGGACAAUUUCAUAAAUGUCAUUACCAGGGUACAAACAGAAUGUGCUUGUACCAUCUUGAUAAGUUUUGCUGCUAUUGUCUUUAUUCUAUGAUGUAAUGUUUUACAAAGAUUAAAAAGAAAAAUUGCAACAAAGACCUUCUGGAUGAUGAAAAACUUUUCCUGUUGUUUUUUUUUUUCUCUCUCUCUUUUUUUCCUAUCAUCCAGCAAAAGCAGAGGAGCUGUAAUUAAUCUUAUCUUCCGUGUAUCACACUGGAAAACAGAGAACUGCAGGAAGUCUAUUUUGCUUGCUUUUGAAAGGAAUGUUUCUACAGUGAAACCUCUGUAAAUCUACCCUUGGGUCCUGUUUCUUCCUUGGUCACAGCGCAUCCCAAGUCAUCUCUGUGACAGACCUUCCUUAAUGGGGAAAUCUCCAGCUGCAA